rnacentral:rRNA from 1 species
UACGGGGGAUGCAAGCGUUAUCCGGAUUUAUUGGGCGUAAAGCGCCUGUAGGUUGUUUAAUAAGUCUGUUGUUAAAGACUAGGGCUUAACCCUAGGAAAGCAAUGGAAACUACUAGACUUGAGUAUGAUAGGGGUAGAGGGAAUUUCUAGUGUAGCGGUGAAAUGCGUAGAUAUUAGAAAGAACACCGGUGGCGAAGGCGCUCUACUGGAUCAUUACUGACACUCAGAGGCGAAAGCUAGGGUAGCAAAAGGGAUUAGAUACCCCUGUAGUCCUAGCCGUAAACGAUGGAUACUACAUGUUGCGUUUUUAAUGCAGUAUGGUAGCUAACGCGUUAAGUAUCCCGCCUGGG